rnacentral:rRNA from 1 species
AGUUUUUAUACUUAAAUACAAUUUUUUUAAAAAGAAACAUCAUUUAUAUUUAGUAAUGGUGAAAGAAAUAAUUAAAUGUAAAUAUCUGUUAUAGGUGUACCGUGUGGGAAGAUUAUAAAUUUUUUUUUAGUAGAAUUAUAAUUCGUACCUUUUGCAUCAUGGUUUAGUAAGAAAAUUUUUUGGAUUAAGUUUCUCGAAACCUAGGGAGCUACCUUAACUUUUGGUUCUAGCCCUAGCAUAAGAGUGAAUGUGGCACAAUUCUAUUUAAAAUUUAAGGUAGAGAUUAAAUGUUAUUCGUCCUAGGUGAUAGCUAGUUAUGAUAUAAAGAUAUAUAAGUAUCGGAUAUAAUUUUAUUAUAUUAUUUUUGUAUAUAUAAUAAUUUAUUUUCUUAGUUAUGUGAGGAUAAGCUCGCAUAAAGUUCAGUUUAACUAAAAUUAUAUACAAAUCUAAGCUUGAAAUUAGCUGUGAUGUUGAAUUUGUUAAAAAUGCAUAUAUAAUAAAUCUUUAUAAUAUAUUAAGUUUAUAUUAUUCCAUUAUAUAAUUGAGAUAUAAUUGAUUUAUGCUAAAAUGAGUAUUAUUAUAAAUUAAAGUAAAAAUAAACAUAAAAUUUUUUAAAAAAAUUUUAUAACCAUUAUAAAAUAUAUUAUAGGAACUCGGCAAAAUUUAGCUCCGCCUGUUUAGCAAAAACAUGUCUCUUUGAAAAUAAGAUAUAGAGAGUCUAGCCUGCCCGG